rnacentral:rRNA from 1 species
GUCGAGCGGACAGAAGGGAGCUUGCUCCCGGAUGUUAGCGGCGGACGGGUGAGUAACACGUGGGUAACCUGCCUGUAAGACUGGGAUAACUCCGGGAAACCGGAGCUAAUACCGGAUAGUUCCUUGAACCGCAUGGUUCAAGGAUGAAAGACGGUUUCGGCUGUCACUUACAGAUGGACCCGCGGCGCAUUAGCUAGUUGGUGGGGUAAUGGCUCACCAAGGCGACGAUGCGUAGCCGACCUGAGAGGGUGAUCGGCCACACUGGGACUGAGACACGGCCCAGACUCCUACGGGAGGCAGCAGUAGGGAAUCUUCCGCAAUGGACGAAAGUCUGACGGAGCAACGCCGCGUGAGUGAUGAAGGUUUUCGGAUCGUAAAGCUCUGUUGUUAGGGAAGAACAAGUGCGAGAGUAACUGCUCGCACCUUGACGGUACCUAACCAGAAAGCCACGGCUAACUACGUGCCAGCAGCCGCGGUAAUACGUAGGUGGCAAGCGUUGUCCGGAAUUAUUGGGCGUAAAGGGCUCGCAGGCGGUUUCUUAAGUCUGAUGUGAAAGCCCCCGGCUCAACCGGGGAGGGUCAUUGGAAACUGGGAAACUUGAGUGCAGAAGAGGAGAGUGGAAUUCCACGUGUAGCGGUGAAAUGCGUAGAGAUGUGGAGGAACACCAGUGGCGAAGGCGACUCUCUGGUCUGUAACUGACGCUGAGGAGCGAAAGCGUGGGGAGCGAACAGGAUUAGAUACCCUGGUAGUCCACGCCGUAAACGAUGAGUGCUAAGUGUUUAGGGGGGUUUCCGCCCCUUAGUGCUGCAGCUAACGCAUUAAGCACUCCGCCUGGGGGAGUACGGUCGCAAGACUGAAACUCAAAGGAAUUGACGGGGGGCCCGCACAAGCGGUGGAGGCCUUGUGGUUUAAUUCGAAGCAACGCGAAGAACCUUACCAGGUCUUGACAUCCUCUGACAACCCUAGAGAUAGGGCUUUCCCUUCGGGGACAGAGUGACAGGUGGUGCAUGGUUGUCGUCAGCUCGUGUCGUGAGAUGUUGGGUUAAGUCCCGCAACGAGCGCAACCCUUGAUCUUAGUUGCCAGCAUUCAGUUGGGCACUCUAAGGUGACUGCCGGUGACAAACCGGAGGAAGGUGGGGAUGACGUCAAAUCAUCAUGCCCCUUAUGACCUGGGCUACACACGUGCUACAAUGGACAGAACAAAGGGCUGCAAGACCGCAAGGUUUAGCCAAUCCCAUAAAUCUGUUCUCAGUUCGGAUCGCAGUCUGCAACUCGACUGCGUGAAGCUGGAAUCGCUAGUAAUCGCGGAUCAGCAUGCCGCGGUGAAUACGUUCCCGGGCCUUGUACACACCGCCCGUCACACCACGAGAGUUUGCAACACCCGAAGUCGGUGAGGUAACCUUUAUGGAGCCUUCCGC